rnacentral:rRNA from 1 species
CGACCGGCGCACGGGUGAGUAACACGUAUGCAACCUGGCCGUCACAGGUGGAUAACCGGAAGAAAUUCCGACUAAUACAGCAUAACACUCCUGAGGGACGAUCCUUCGGGAGUCAAAGGAGGCAACUCCGGUGACGGAUGGGCAUGCGGCGCAUUAGGUAGUUGGUAGGGUUACGGCCUACCAAGCCGACGAUGCGUAGGGGUUCUGAGAGGAAGGUCCCCCACAUUGGAACUGAGACACGGUCCAAACUCCUACGGGAGGCAGCAG